AGAGUUUGAUCCUGGCUCAGAUUGAACGCUGGCGGCAUGCCUUACACAUGCAAGUCGAACGGCAGCACGGGAGCAAUCCUGGUGGCGAGUGGCGAACGGGUGAGUAAUACAUCGGAACGUGUCCUGGAGUGGGGGAUAGCCCGGCGAAAGCCGGAUUAAUACCGCAUACGCUCUAUGGAGGAAAGCGGGGGGAUCUUUCGGGACCUCGCGCUCAAGGGGCGGCCGAUGGCAGGUUAGCUAGUUGGUGGGGUAAAGGCCUACCAAGGCGACGAUCUGUAGCUGGUCUGAGAGGACGACCAGCCACACUGGGACUGAGACACGGCCCAGACUCCUACGGGAGGCAGCAGUGGGGAAUUUUGGACAAUGGGCGCAAGCCUGAUCCAGCAAUGCCGCGUGUGUGAAGAACGCCUUCGGGUUGUACAGCACUUUUGUCCGGA
rnacentral:rRNA from 1 species